UUAACUCCGGUUGAUCCUGCCGGCGGCCACUGCUAUCAGGUUGCGACUAAGCCAUGCGAGUUAAGGGGUCGCAAGACACCAGCGAACCGCUCAGUAACACGCGGAUAAUCUACCCUUAGGUGGGGUAUAGCCUCGGGAAACUGAGGGUAAUUCCCCAUAAUCACUAUAUGCUGGAAUGCUUUGGUGAUGAAAGUUCCGACGCCUGAGGAUGAGUCUGCGGCCUAUCAGGUAGUAUGUGGUGUAAAGGACCACAUAGCCGAAGACGGGUACGGGCCCUGAGAGGGGGUGCCCGGAGAUGGACUCUGAGACACUAGUCCAGGCCCUACGGGGCGCAGCAGGCGCGAAAACUGUGCAAUGCGCGAAAGCGCGACACGGGUAACCUGAGUGCCUUGACAAAGUCAAGGCUUUUCUCAAACCUAAAAAGUUUGAGGAAUAAGAGCUGGGCAAGACGGGUGCCAGCCGCCGCGGUAACACCCGCAGCUCGAGUGGUGGUCACUUUUAUUGAGCCUAAAGCGUUCGUAGCCGGUUCCGUAAAUCUUCAGAUAAAUUCUCCUGCUCAACAGAAGAUCCUCUGAGGAGACUGCGGAACUUGGGACCGGGUGAGGUUGAGGGUACCUCCGGGGUAGGGGUAAAAUCCUGUAAUCCUGGAGGGACGACCAGUGGCGAAGGCGUUCAACCAGAACGGAUCCGACGGUGAGGGACGAGGGCUAGGGGAGCGAACCGGAUUAGAUACCCGGGUAGUCCUAGCUGUAAACUCUGCCCACUUGGUGUUGCUUCUCCGUUGAGGGGGAGCAGUGCCGGAGCGAAGGUGUUAAGUGGGCCGCUUGGGGAGUAUGGUCGCAAGGCUGAAACUUAAAGGAAUUGGCGGGGGAGCACCGCAACGGGAGGAGCGUGCGGUUUAAUUGGAUUCAACGCCGGACAACUCACCGGGAGCGACCUUUGCAUGAGAGUCAACCUGACGAGUUUACUCGAUAGAAGGAGAGGUGGUGCAUGGCCGUCGUCAGCUCGUACCGUAAGGCGUUCACUUAAGUGUGAUAACGAGCGAGACCCCCAUCUUUAAUUGCCAGCUUGUCUUAGCGGACAAGGGCACUUUAGAGGGACCGCCAGCGCUAAGCUGGAGGAAGGAGGGGUCGACGGCAGGUCAGUACGCCCCGAAUCUCCCGGGCUACACGCGCGCUACAAAGGGCAGGACAAUGAGUUGCGACACCGAUAGGUGGAGCUAACCUCGAAACCUGUUCGUAGUUAGGAUUGAGGGCUGUAACUCGCCCUCAUGAAUGUGGAUUCCGUAGUAAUCGCGGGUCAACAGCCCGCGGUGAAUAUGCCCCUGCUCCUUGCACACACCGCCCGUCAAACCAUCCGAGCUGGUGUUGGAUGAGGGCACGUCCGAGAGGGCGAGCUCGAAUCUGAUGUCAGUGAGGAGGGUUAAGUCGUAACAAGGUAUCCGUAGGGGAACCUGCGGAUGGAUCACCUCCUAAGACACGGCGAGCCAUAGGCACACUCAAUCCCUUUAUAUUCCAACCACUAGUGCACAUUUAUUCAUAAUCCA
rnacentral:rRNA from 1 species